rnacentral:pre_miRNA from 1 species
AAAGUACUCCCUCCGUCCCAAAAUUAUUGUCUUAGAUUUGUCUAGAUACGGAUGUAUCAAGUCACAUUUUAGUAUUAGAUACAUCCGUAUCUAGACAAAUCUAAGACAAGAAAUUUGGGACAGAGGGGGUAGUUG